UACGUAGGUGGCAAGCGUUGUCCGGAUUCACUGAGCGUAGAGCGCGCGCAGGCGGUCUUCUACGUCUGGGGUGAAAACCCGGGGCUCAACCCCGGGACUGCCUUGGAUACGGGAAGACUUGAGGAUCGGAGAGGCAAGGGGAAUUCCACGUGUAGCGGUGAAAUGCGUAGAGAUGUGGAGGAACACCUGUGGCGAAGGCGCCUUGCUGGCCGAUUUCUGACGCUGAGGCGCGAAAGCGUGGGGAGCAAACAGG
rnacentral:rRNA from 1 species